rnacentral:rRNA from 1 species
GCAGCAGCCGCGGUAAUACGAAGGGUGCAAGCGUUAAUCGGAAUUACUGGGCGUAAAGCGUGCGUAGGCGGUGAGUUAAGUCUGCUGUGAAAUCCCCGGGCUCAACCUGGGAAUGGCAGUGGAUACUGGCUCGCUAGAGUGUGUCAGAGGAUGGUGGAAUUCCCGGUGUAGCGGUGAAAUGCGUAGAGAUCGGGAGGAACAUCAGUGGCGAAGGCGGCCAUCUGGGACAACACUGACGCUGAGGCACGAAAGCGUGGGGAGCAAACAGGAUUAGAUACCCGGGUAGUCCCUGUCUCUUAUAC